AUCCCAUGAUGAGGACAUUUACGAAGUAAUUCAUUGAAUAUUUCCUACGCCUCAUAUAAUGACUCAUCAUCCAAUUGUUGGAAAGUAGUUAUCUCAUUUCGCAACUU
rfam:Gossypium raimondii chromosome 4, whole genome shotgun sequence.